rnacentral:lncRNA from 1 species
UCCAACGAGCCAAGUCUCGUCGCAAUCCGAUGCUCCUACGUCGAGAACGAGCCAAAAUACAAACAGUCGACGGUGAAAUUCAGCAAACAACGUCUCUUCGAGUUGAAGUAGUAAGAACUUGACCAAAAAUCCAAAGAAAUGCUGAAUACUCACCUCGACAACACCGAGCACCGCUGCGACAGCAAAACGGCGAAAACCUCCGCUCGCCCGGCCUCCUCGUGCUACCACGGUGUCAAACACGUGCUCGAACGGUUCCGCGGCGCGACGUCGGCGACGGAUUCUCCAACCGAGCUCUCCCCGGUCGAACCAAGCUAGAGAGAGAGAGGAAGAAGGAGCAGCAAGAACACUCCCUCUCAAGAGCUCUACGCCUGUAUAUAGAAGUAGGUGGGGUGGUGAUACAAACGAGGGAGAGAAAAGACCAAAACACCCUCUCACCUACCCUGGUGUACCGGUACACGGGAUCGCGUACCGGUACAGGAAGCCAACCCGAGAGCAGUACGCGC